GCUGCUUGGUCGCUCAAGUUGUCAACCGUACUGUCAGGCUUCUUGCUUUUAUAAUUAAUUAUUAUUCUGUCAGCAUCUGGUUUAUUUUUAAAUGGUGUAAACGUGCUUUGUCGUCGGUUGUUCCACAGGAUAUAUGUCAAACAAAGAGAAAACGCCAAUAUUCAGGGCUCCCAAGAAUGACACAAAUUUGGUCUUAUGGCAAAAAUCCAUCGCAAGGAUGGACCGAAAGUUUUCCAGAAAGGACUUUGUUUGUGCCAAACAUUUCAAAGAGUAAUAAAUAAUAAAAACAAGAACGAUAUUAAAUACAGCUCAUCCAUUGAAGGUUGGGAAGUUGGCAGCUGAUGUCAUUCCUACUCUUAACCUAAUUCGUAUCAAUCCUGUACCCACCAUUCAUAGAUGCUUAAGCCUGCUUGAGCGAUGCUUAGGUGCACGAUAUGUUUUCUUGUCUUUUUUUAAUUUUUAAAAAAAGAUCCUUUUGAAUCGAGAGUUGAGAUGAAUCGAGAGUUAAGAUGUGGGUAAUCUCAUCGUGUUCAUCAGGGAUAACUUUGAUAGCAUUAUUUUAAUCUUACUCUGCAUAUGACUGCUAAACCUCGUUGGCAUUAAUCCACUCCUCCUUAGGUGGUUCAAGUUCAAAAAUAAAAAAAAUUAAAAUUUUUAACAAGAAAUAUUUUUACUGAUUUUCCGAAUAGACUCUCUUUUACAAAUCGAACAAGAGCCCUUUUCCGGAUGAGAGUCGGCUGUGCCUACAGCAAAAAGAGAGUUUUCAAUAAAACCAAUGACAUCACAAUUUCAUCGCUUAAACAUCUCAAAGAAAAGUCAUAUCUUGCAUCAAUGGAAUAAAUACAUAAAAACGUACUCCUUCCUACGAAAAAUAUCGAUGGUAGCCUCAGACAUAGCGUGAUUGGAAUGCUUAAAACAAUCAGAUUUGAUUCAAAAUUAUUUCGUGUUGAAAACAUAAGAAACCUAAAAAGGACAUUGACACGCACGCAUAUACUGAGUAGCACGCUUGCCAUUAGAUCUUAAAUGG